AUACGUAGGGGGCGAGCGUUGUCCGGAAUGAUUGGGCGUAAAGGGCGCGUAGGCGGCCCGGUAAGUCUGGAGUGAAAGUCCUGUUUUUAAGAUGGGAAUUGCUUUGGAUACUGUCGGGCUUGAGUGCAGGAGAGGUAAGUGGAAUUCCCAGUGUAGCGGUGAAAUGCGUAGAGAUUGGGAGGAACACCAGUGGCGAAGGCGACUUACUGGGCUGUAACUGACGCUGAGGCGCGAAAGUGUGGGGAGCAAACAGGAUUAGAUACCCUGGUAGUCCACACCGUAAACGAUGAAUGCUAGGUGUAGGGGGUAUCGACCCCUUCUGUGCCGCAGUCAACACAAUAAGCAUUCCGCCUGGGGAGUACGGCCGCAAGGUUGAAACUCAAAUGAAUUGACGGGG
rnacentral:rRNA from 1 species